AAUGGGUCAGCGACUUAUAUUCUGUAGCAAGGUUAACCGAAUAGGGGAGCCGAAGGGAAACCGAGUCUUAACUGGGCGUUAAGUUGCAGGGUAUAGACCCGAAACCCGGUGAUCUAGCCAUGGGCAGGUUGAAGGUUGGGUAACACUAACUGGAGGACCGAACCGACUAAUGUUGAAAAAUUAGCGGAUGACUUGUGGCUGGGGGUGAAAGGCCAAUCAAACCGGGAGAUAGCUGGUUCUCCCCGAAAGCUAUUUAGGUAGCGCCUCGUGAAUUCAUCUCCGGGGGUAGAGCACUGUUUCGGCAAGGGGGUCAUCCCGACUUACCAACCCGAUGCAAACUGCGAAUACCGGAGAAUGUUAUCACGGGAGACACACGGCGGGUGCUAACGUCCGUCGUGAAGAGGGAAACAACCCAGACCGCCAGCUAAGGUCCCAAAGUCAUGGUUAAGUGGGAAACGAUGUGGGAAGGCCCAGACAGCCAGGAUGUUGGCUUAGAAGCAGCCAUCAUUUAAAGAAAGCGUAAUAGCUCACUGGUCGAGUCGGCCUGCGCGGAAGAUGUAACGGGGCUAAACCAUGCACCGAAGCUGCGGCAGCGACACUAUGUGUUGUUGGGUAGGGGAGCGUUCUGUAAGCCUGUGAAGGUGUACUGUGAGGUAUGCUGGAGGUAUCAGAAGUGCGAAUGCUGACAUAAGUAACGAUAAAGCGGGUGAAAAGCCCGCUCGCCGGAAGACCAAGGGUUCCUGUCCAACGUUAAUCGGGGCAGGGUGAGUCGACCCCUAAGGCGAGGCCGAAAGGCGUAGUCGAUGGGAAACAGGUUAAUAUUCCUGUACUUGGUGUUACUGCGAAGGGGGGACGGAGAAGGCUA
rnacentral:rRNA from 1 species